UACGUAUGGUGCAAGCGUUAUCCGGAUUUACUGGGUGUAAAGGGAGCGCCGGCGGCGCGGCAAGUCUGAUGUGAAAGCCCGGGGCCCAACCCCGGGACUGCACUGGAAACUGCCGUGCUGGAGUGUCGGAGGGGUAAGCGGAAUUCCUGGUGUAGCGGUGAAAUGCGUAGAUAUCAGGAGGAACACCGGUGGCGAAGGCGGCUUACUGGACGAUGACUGACGCUGAGGCUCGAAAGCGUGGGGAGCAAACAGG
rnacentral:rRNA from 1 species